rnacentral:rRNA from 1 species
UCCCCGGCACGGGGGAGGUAGUGACAAAAAAUAACGAUACGGGACUCUUUUGAGGCCCCGUAAUCGGAAUGAGUACACUUUAAAUCCUUUAACAAGGAUCCAUUGGAGGGCAAGUCUGGUGCCAGCAGCCGCGGUAAUUCCAGCUCCAAUAGCGUAUAUUAAAGUUGUUGCGGUUAAAAAGCUCGUAGUUGGUUCUGCGUGCUACGCUGUCGGUUCGCCGCCUGCCGGUGUAACUGGCAUGCCGUGGCAUGUCCUGUCGGUGGUGUGCGGAAGCCUCGUCAGGUGACGGCCCGAACUAACAUUCGGUGUCCGUCGGCCGGAGGUCCACCCGUUCGCCUACUCUAUCCUACCUAGGUGCUCUUUACCGAGUGUCGAGGUAGGCCGACACGUUUACUUUGAACAAAUUAGAGUGCUCAAAGCAGGCUGAAAUCUCUGCCUGAAUAGUGGUGCAUGGAAUAAUAAAACAGGACCUUGUUUCUAUUUUGUUGGUUCUUAAGAACACAAGGUAAUGAUCAAUACGGACAGGCGGGGGCAUUCGUAUUGCGACGUUAGAGGUGAAAUUCUUGGAUCGUCGCAAGACGCACAAGAGCGAAAGCAUUUGCCAAGUAUGUCUUGAUUGAUCAAGAACGAAAGUUAGAGGUUCGAAGGCGAUCAGAUACCGCCCUAGUUCUAACCAUAAACGAUGCCAGCCAGCGAUCCGCCGAUGUUCCUCCGAUGACUCGGCGGGGAGCUUUUUCCCGGGAAACCAAAGCUUUUGGGUUCCGGGGGAAGUAUGGUUGCAAAGCUGAAACUUAAAGGAAUUGACGGAAGGGCACCACCAGGAGUGGAGCCUGCGGCUUAAUUUGACUCAACACGGGAAACCUCACCAGGCCAGGACAUUGGAAUGAUUGUCAGAUUGAUAGCUCUUACUUGAUUCAGUGGGUAGUGGUGCAUGGCCGUUCUUAGUUGGUGGGCCGACUUGUCUGGUUAAUUCCGAUAACGAACGAGACUCUAGCCUAUUAACUAGACGUACUUCCGGUGUCCCCGCCACCGGCGACUCUUAUUCUUCUUAAGGGGACAGGCGGCUUAUAGCCGCACGAGAUUGAGCAAUAACAGGUCUGUGAUGCCCUUAGAUGUCCUGGGCCGCACGCGCGCUACACUGAAGGAAUCAACGUGUGCCUCCCUGGCCGAAAGGCCCGGGUAAUCCGCUGAACCUCCUGCGUGCUAGGAAUUGGGGCUUGCAAUUGUUCCCCAUGAACGAGGAAUUCCCAGUAAGCGCGAGUCAUAAGCUCGCGUUGAUUACGUCCCUGCCCUUUGUACACACCGCCCGUCGCUACUACCGAUUGAAUGAUUUAGUGAGGUCUUCGGACUAGCGGUAAUCUCUAUCGACUUGUCUGGUAUUGAUGAACGCCGGAAAGAUGACCAAACUUGAUCAUUU